GUGGGAAGCACAGAAAAGAAGCAGUUUUGAACAAACAAGACAUGCCAGAGAAGUGGAAGAGAGAGAAAGUGUCUUGUAACAUGGUAUCACAAAGGGACUGGGAAGAUUCCACACAGGGGCUGACUUUCUCAAAAGGAGGGGGGUGGGGUUAAAGAUGAAUUGGAU